UACGUAGGGUGCAAGCGUUAAUCGGAAUUACUGGGCGUAAAGCGUGCGCAGGCGGUGAUGUAAGACAGAUGUGAAAUCCCCGGGCUCAACCUGGGAACUGCAUUUGUGACUGCAUCGCUGGAGUGCGGCAGAGGGGGAUGGAAUUCCGCGUGUAGCAGUGAAAUGCGUAGAUAUGCGGAGGAACACCGAUGGCGAAGGCAAUCCCCUGGGCCUACACUGACGCUCAUGCACGAAAGCGUGGGGAGCAAACAGG
rnacentral:rRNA from 1 species